rnacentral:rRNA from 1 species
GACGAACGCUGGCGGCGUGCUUAACACAUGCAAGUCGAACGGAAAGGCCCUGCUUUUGUGGGGUGCUCGAUUGGCGAACGGGUGAGUAACACGUGAGUAACCUGCCCUUGACUUUGUGAUAACUUCAGGAAACUGGGGCUAAUACCGGAUAGGAGCUCCUGCUGCAUGGUGGUGGUUGGAAAGUUUCGGCGGUUGGGGAUGGACUCGCGGCUUAUCAGCUUGUUGGUGGGGUAGUGGCUUACCAAGGCUUUGACGGGUAGCCGGCCUGGGAGGGUGACCGGCCACAUUGGGACUGAGAUACGGCCCAGACUCCUACGGGAGGCAGCAGUGGGGAAUAUUGCACAAUGGGCGGAAGCCUGAUGCAGCAACGCCGCGUGCGGGAUGACGGCCUUCGGGUUGUAAACCGCUUUCGCCUGUGACGAAGCGUGAGUGACGGUAAUGGGUAAAGAAGCACCGGCUAACUACGUG